CUUGUGUUAAUAUUAACGGCAAAACUGAACGUGCGCAAGCGGACAUUCCGAUUUCGUCAUUUGAAGAACUCGGCCAUUUGGACUCCGAUGCCGAAGCCAAUCCAGAAGCAUUUAGUCACUCAGAAACGACAAUUACAGUCUUACCCAAUAUCAAGAUGAUCUGCGUUCACCGUUCACUAAGGCAAAUAAUAACAUACAACAAUACUUAUGAUAAAGGCCCUUGGACUGUAAAUAGAUUAAUAAAUGCAUAUACCAAAUUAAAAA